GCCGGAUGGCGCAGUGGUAGCGCGCACGCCUUCGAGGUGAGGGGGCCCGGGUUCAAACCCGGAGUGUGGCA
rnacentral:tRNA from 1 species